rnacentral:lncRNA from 10 species
AGAGACAAGGUCUCCUUAUGUUGCCCAGGAUGGUCUUGAACUUCGGGGAUUUAUUUAAUUUUUACAAUAAAUGAUUUGCAUUUAGAAAAUUAGAAUUAAUUACAGUUGAGUCUUGAGCAAGAUGAGAAUUAGGGUGCUCAUCCCCCCAUGCAACUGAAAAUCUGCUUUAUAUGAAAAUCGGUUUCUUUUGACUCCUCCAAAACUCUACUAAUUGUCUACUGUUGACCUGGAGCCUGAAAAAAGAAGGAACAUCUGAAGGAACACCUGACGAGGCUGCACCCUUGACAGAAAGAACACCUGACAUGGCUGAAAGCUUGGUGGAAAGAACACCUGACGAAUAGGAUACAGUGAAUUCAUCUUCAAAGAUUUUAGCCUGUAAAAAUCCUUUAAAAUUCAAGAGGGGGAAGAUUAAGUACAGUGAGUUCUGAGUUCCUCAUCAAAAAAAAAAUAUGUCAGUAUGUCCAGCUUCUCUGUUCUUUUUUCUCCGUUUUAAAGUUUAACUUCCUCGUUCGUUAUGCCUCCUUGCCCCUAGUUUCAUUAAACAACCCCCUCCUAGCCUCUAACCCCUGCUUUGUCUUUAGUCAUUCUUAGUCACCUGCUCUGUCCUUAGUCAUC